rnacentral:lncRNA from 1 species
GGGCAUGGUAUGCCUUAAAACUUUUCCAGAUGCACAGGUUUGUAUGUAAUCUAUCUAAAGUUUGAGGUGAAAAUGCAGCCAUUUGAGCCAAAGGGCACACAUCAUUAAUCAUUUCUACAGAACUUGUCUUGAUACCCUGAGCUAUAAUAUUCGAAGAAGUAGAUGCUGACUCGGUUGCUUUUAAUACGGAUGCUAUAUGAUACGAAUUUACAAUAAUACACCAGUGGUACGAUGUAAAUUAUUGGAAGAAGACUGAAGAAGAACUGACGUUGGGUCAAUGUUUUUCUGCUGUCAGUUUGAUCCACUUGAGCAUGCUGAACGAGUAAAGUUCCUUAUAUCCACAUUGGAAUGUGAAACAAUUAGUAUUUAAAUAACGGAACUAAGUUUUCAAAUGAUUUUUGGCAUCAAAAUCCUCCGAUCGAUGUUUAGAUAAAAACAAUGCAUUUUUUAAUUGUUUUUUUUUUAUUUUAUCAAAUCCGGUAUUUACCUUUACUCGUCCUUGGCGUGAGACGUUAGACAUAUAAUUUAAUUUUAAUUAUCGAGUAUUUUAUAUUCUUUCACCUAUGUUUUGUUUAUAUCACUUAUCACUUUUCAAUUAUCCGACGGCUUGGUCAAAAUGUCAACUUGUUCUCGCAUUUUAAUCAGUCAUUCCCGAUUCUUUCGAUACUCUCGGGAUUUUAUCACGUUUACGUACGUACAUAUAGUAAACAGGUAAAAGUAGAGCGGGAAAAUGUUCAUUCAUGAAAUAUUCAUGAAUGAAUGAAAACGCAAUCUCGCGUAGAUUUCUUGUGAUUUUCUCUUCAGCGCAUGGCAGAUCCGCGAAGUAGCGUUUGUGAUACUCAUUUUUAAAAUGAAGUUAAAUUCAUCUGAAUCGUAGGUGAACAUUCAUUUCUUUUUUAUUCAAGCUGUAAUCUUUUCAGUCAAAACA